UCUCUGCCUGCUGGAAUUCCACUUCUCUGUCCAUUGUGCUUCCUGUGCCCUCGACUUCUUCCCAAAAACUCCAAGAAUGAUGAGAAGGAUUUUCCCAGAUCGAGAGAUAAACCAAUAGUCCCAAACUCAUUUAGGGAAAAACCAGAUGGAGAGUACUCCACAGCAAAAAUGUUCAUAACUCUCAAAUCACGGCGCCGAAGAAGGAUGUGGCAAUUGCUUAUGGAUUCAAUGCUAUUAGGUAUCAAGCAGCAGUAGAUAAUAAAGGCUCGAAGAGGAAUAUAUUCAAGAUGACAUUGGCUGGGCUAAAGUUGAAUUUGAAGACGACAAAGUGAUACACUAUGCUAAACAAAGAAGAAGAUUUAAACAAAAUGGAAAUAGUGAAGAUAAGUUUUCUGAUGCCUUGUUAUUUCCUUUGAUAAAAUGAACAUUGAUAAGGUAUAUGUUUUAUGUAAGAAAUAAGAAAAGAACAUUGAUUAUUUAAAUAUUGGAUAUAUAAAAGUGAAUUCAUGAAGUGCUUUGUGCGUCAUUUGGGGUUAAUAGUUUGAGAUUUUUCCAAAGAGGAAGAAUGACAUUUAGUAGGGGUAUGUACUAGCUCCUCAUCCUUAUUUUGAACUACAUAUUAGGAAAUAUGAGAUAGGUCAUGAAUUUUGUCUUACAGGAUAUGAGAUAGGUCAUGAAAUUGAUCUUACAUUAAUCAAAAUUUAGGAUGAUGUUGUUAAUA